rnacentral:rRNA from 1 species
UACGAAGGGGGCUAGCGUUGCUCGAAUCACUGGGCGUAAAGCGCACGUAGGCGGAUUGUUAAGUCAGGGGUGAAAUCCUGGAGCUCAACUCCAGAACUGCCUUUGAUACUGGCGAUCUUGAGUCCGGGAGAGGUGAGUGGAACUGCGAGUGUAGAGGUGAAAUUCGUAGAUAUUCGCAAGAACACCAGUGGCGAAGGCGGCUCACUGGCCCGAUACUGACGCUGAGGCACGAAAGUGUGGGGAGCAAACAG